CGAGAUGGCCGCCGCUCUUAUUUGUAAGUACUGAUCUAUCUACAUAGCCAUAGAAGUGGCUCAGUUCUUCGGAUGGCUAGGUGAGGGGAGCUUCUCCAAUGGAGGGUGUCCUGGAUAGUGACCAUAAGGUGGUUUUUUUGGAGGUUCAUAAACUGGUGGCUUGGGUUUUGGUUUCUCUUUCUUUGGAGGUGGAUUGGUGGCUUUGGUGGUUUAAAUUCAUGCAUCGGUGGCUUCUUUGGAGGUUCAUGUACGGGUGAUUUGGGUUUUGACUUCUCUUUCUUUGGAGGUUCAUGGACUGGUGGUUUAGGUUUAUAUGCUGGAGGCUUCUUUAGAGGUUCAUGGAUUGGUGGCUUCUUUGGAGGUUCAUAUAUCGGUGGCUUGUGUUCUGGUUUCUCUUUCUUUGGAGGUUCGUGAACUGGUAGCUUUGGUGGUUUAGGUUCAUGAAUCGGUGGCUUCUUUGGAAAUUCAUGGAGUGGUGGUUUAUGUUUAUACAUUGGAGGCUUCUUUAGAGGUUCAUGGAUUGAUGGCGUAGGUUUAUACAUUGGAGGCUUAUUUGGAAGUUCAUCUGAUGGUGGCUUGUGUUCUAGUUUCUUUUUUUUUGGAAGUUUAUGGACUGGUGGCUUAGGGUCAUAUGUUGGAGGCUUCUUUGGAAGUUCAUGCACAGGAGGCUUGGGUGACUUAGGUUCUGGCUUCUUUGGUUGUUUGCCAUAGUUGGGUGGCUCGUAGGUACCUAAGGAGGGAGUGGUGACAACCACAACUCCAAGGAACAAUAC
rnacentral:lncRNA from 1 species